rnacentral:rRNA from 1 species
GACGAACGCUGGCGGCGUGCUUAACACAUGCAAGUCGAACGGAAAGGCCCUGCUUUUGUGGGGUGCUCGAGUGGCGAACGGGUGAGUAACACGUGAGUAACCUGCCCUUGACUUUGGGAUAACUUCAGGAAACUGGGGCUAAUACCGGAUAGGAGCUCCUGCUGCAUGGUGGGGGUUGGAAAGUUUCGGCGGUUGGGGAUGGACUCGCGGCUUAUCAGCUUGUUUGUGGGGUAGUGGCUUACCAAGGCUUUGACGGGUAGCCGGCCUGAGAGGGUGACCUGCCACAUUGGGACUGAGAUACGGCCCAGACUCCUACGGGAGGCAGCAGUGGGGAAUAUUGCACAAUGGGCUGAAGCCUGAUGCAGCAACGCCGCGUGCGGGAUGACGGCCUUCGGUUUGUAAACCGCUUUCGCCUGUGACGAAGCGUGAGUGACGGUAAUGGGUAAAGAAGCACCGGCUAACUACGUG